rnacentral:lncRNA from 1 species
CUUUCUUGCUGUUGAAAGAGUUUACUCUAAAUUACUCGGCCUUGAGUCCGUGGCUCAGUGGUGGUCUUGAGAGACUCCAGUAGCCUAUGAAGAAGAGAAAAGGAGAAAAGAAAAGGAACUAGCAAUGCACUGGAAUUACAUCUUCUCUUCAGUCCCCAGGAAUCCAGGUUGCAACAAGAAAUGAGCAGGUUGGUUUGGUGAGUAAAUCUAUCUAGAGCUGCAUAACGAUUGUUUGGGUUCUGCAAGGUUUGAGACAGUUGAAUAUUCAA